rnacentral:snRNA from 1 species
AUCUUUGUGCUUGAGGCAAUACGACAGCGUGUGAAGCUUUGCUGAUGUGCCGUGAUUGCUAGUUGAAAACUACUCCAAACCUCGUGAGAAGGCCACUGGCCGGCUCCAAUUUCUGCUUUUCUCUCCCGUUCUUCUUGGGA